GGGAAUGAGUGUCAAGUGUCUCUUCGGUUUGACCAAAAUGGUACAAACAGCACUUGUGACCCCAGAGUCACACUACAGACAGAGAGUGACAGAGUGUUUCUACACAUCACCAACAUACAACCAUCUGAUGAAGGGAUCUACACCUGUCAGUGUGUAUAUAAUGGAGGACAUAAUGAUCUUCAACUACAUAUUUCUGUCAACAGAUCCCAUGAGGACUUGGAUCACAGACAUUUCCAUAUUGAGAGGCUAGUAGGCCUAGCAGCAGCUGUUGCUGUCAUGGCCUUUGCUGGCAUAAUUAUGAGGAAAAUGCAUUUUAAGUAAGAGAUUCUCUUCAGCUCUGUUCUGUAAUGAGUAUUUGUCCAUUUUGGUAUUUGUAUAAUUACGUUGUAAUGGAGAAACUGUAAUAAUAUAAGUGUCUACUCAACAAAUCAGAUUCAUAAUUCUGGUACUGAACUUUGUCUUACAAAUGCAUCCAAUGCCGUAGCCUGCUGAGAAACAAUGUGAAAUACCUAAACACUAAACUGUGUAAAAUAAUCUUUCACUUGGUGUGAUGAUGCUAUCUAUCUACGUUCAUUCACUCGUCUUCUCUUUUACACAGCAGGAGAACACAGCAGAAAGCGGUGUACACAUUUAAAGAGGUGGAGCAACAGGACAUUUAGAGACAAUGGGCUUUACUCAACCCUCCAGCUGCCACAUUCUAACCCCUGACCUCUGGCACCGUUGACCAAUGACGACAUGGUAUUAGACACCUUUUUCUAUCACUAGGGGUUAAAUAGUAUUUCACCAGCCCUGGAUAUACAACUGUACAGUAUCCAUUUACUGUAUAUCUUGAUUACUGUAAUGCCCCUAUUUUUGCAGCUGAUACACUGACUUUAUAUAGUUCCAUUGAUUGGUUACUAACACCUGGCUGAAAAAGGUAUUUACUGUAGAUCGUCUUCUGUUGCUGUAAAUAUCAGCACUUACUGUAUGAAUCCUGCACAUUAUGUUACCUCGAACCAAUGUUCCUUUAGACAAAUGUGAUCAUAUUUACUUCCACCAGGUGUCAGUGUAUUGCAUUUGUAAAAUAUAUUACCUGCAGCAGUAGAUGUACAGUCAUCAUCACAACAUGCUUCAUGACAAUGUAUUUUCCUUGCUUUCAAUGUUCCAUCUCCAUUUAUUAUGUAGGCCUACAUGAAUUAUAUGUUCAAGUGUAGAGAUGUAACGGCAAAACAAAAAAAUUCAUUAACUUAAUUUCCAAGCAGAUCCAUGACCUCUAUAUUAAUAUGUAUACUGUAUGGACUGUAUGUAUCUAACCCAGCAUGUACACUCUAGAGGAAAACAAAUCAUUAUCUACAUCAGGCUUAUAUGAUAUAAGAACCCUUCAGCCUUGUGGUGGUGCAGAAUCUAUCAUUGUUUGUGUCUAAAGAAGGAAGUGGACCUGUUGAGGUGUCUGUUGUUAAUAUGUUGGCCUCUUCGUUGUGUUCUGCAAAGACCAAGAUGCACUAGCAGAGGUCCAAGUGUUUCUGUGAAACAGUAAGAAGCUAGAAAACAGAACCACUUCCUCCUCUCAGCUCUCAAGGUUCAUUAUAACUAGUCAACCCAAGUUUGACUUUGUUUCUCUAUUGAACAACUAACGUUGGAUAGACAUUGAGUUCUGUACUCAGUCUGAGCAGACAACUUUGAGGAUAUAAUGUUUGGUUCUGCAGUUGGCCAGUAUGUUUGUAUUCAGGCUACUUCUGCUUCUGGUGCAGUUAGUCAAUAAGAAAUCAACUUGACUUUUUGCUCAAUCUAAAUCCCAUGAAAUAGUACACUCAAUCUGUUUCCCUUCAUGUUGGCAGUGACUGAAAUAAAGACAUCCGUCUCCCUAAUAA